GAUAAGGUGCAAAGUGUGUCGUUUAUUUUCACUGUCAUAAACUAUCAUGGCCGUUUUGUCAUCUCGCACCCAGCGAACCACGUUAUCUUGCAGACUUUCACCAUUCUCUGCGCUUCGUCAACUGGGAAACAUCGACGCGGUGGAAGGGAGCAUGGUGCAUUCGAACUCGUUCUUCAGACCUACGCCGGCUUUACUGCAGGAUUGCUUCCAUGCUUUCAUGUCGCAGCCAAGAUGAUCUACGCGGAUUCUGGAGGAGAAAGCAAUAAAGAAUAUAAUAAUGUUCCUGUAUCGAUUACUAGUGCUUUAGUACUGUAUAAAGAAUAUCGAAAGUACAACGUAUAAUAAAGUACUGGAUAGAUAACGUC